rnacentral:rRNA from 1 species
UACGAAGGGGGCUAGCGUUGCUCGGAAUCACUGGGCGUAAAGCGCACGUAGGCGGAUUGCUAAGUCAGGGGUGAAAUCCUGGAGCUCAACUCCAGAACUGCCUUUGAUACUGGCAACCUUGAGUCCGGGAGAGGUGAGUGGAACUGCGAGUGUAGAGGUGAAAUUCGUAGAUAUUCGCAAGAACACCAGUGGCGAAGGCGGCUCCCUGGCCCGGUACUGACGCUGAGGUGCGAAAGCGUGGGAGCAAACAGG